AUACGUAGGUGGCAAGCGUUGUCCGGAAUUAUUGGGCGUAAAGCGCGCGCAGGUGGUUCCUUAAGUCUGAUGUGAAAGCCCCCGGCUCAACCGGGGAGGGUCAUUGGAAACUGGGGAACUUGAGUGCAGAAGAGGAUAGUGGAAUUCCAAGUGUAGCGGUGAAAUGCGUAGAGAUUUGGAGGAACACCAGUGGCGAAGGCGACUGUCUGGUCUGUAACUGACACUGAGGCGCGAAAGCGUGGGGAGCAAACAGAAUUAGAUACCCUGGUAGUCCACGCCGUAAACGAUGAGUGCUAAGUGUUGGGGGGUUUCCGCCCCUCAGUGCUGCAGCUAACGCAUUAAGCACUCCGCCUGGGGAGUACGGUCGCAAGACUGAAACUCAAAGGAAUUGACGGGG
rnacentral:rRNA from 1 species